rnacentral:lncRNA from 1 species
CAAUCACACCUUCUCAUCAAAGAAGGAGAUGUUUCUUCAGCAUUCCUGAGAGAUGCUCAUCUGGUCACUUUGGGAAUAUUUUUUGGCGGUUACUUGGAUUUAAUUAUUAUACUCUGCCAGUCUGUAAAUUCUACCUAUGUAUUAGUUGUCUACUACUCUAAACAUUUGAUCGACAUUCAUUCAUUACUUAUAACAACCUUAAGAUAUACAUUCUGUCACCCCCCAUUUUAUAGAUAAGGAGACCAAAGCACAGAAAGCAGAAAUGCCUAAGGCCAGUCCUUACACAUUAUGACAGAAACCUGUAUCGGCUUGAUCUCGGUCAUCAUUUUUUGGCUCCAGUGUAACUCCAGGCAAGGGGAAAGGUCGAAUUUCGUACCAGGAAGGAGAAGCCAGUUGCUUCCAACAUGGUGUCAUGAGGUCGUUCCUCUAGAAAAGGCUCACCAAUCAAAAGUAUUCCAGGUCCUUCUGGCUUCGAACAAAGGAUGGACACGACAGGCCACAAAUGACGCCAAACGUUUAUUUGAAAAGUUCGAGGACUAAAACAAGCAGGAGGAAACCCUCGGGAUAAGACCUCUUGGGAAUCCUGGGGAAAACAGCUGAGGCUCUGGGAAGGAAGCACGAUCCAUGGAGCCAGUUUGUGUGAGAGAACAAGAUUUGUAAAGAGUGAGACACCAAGCCAGUUACACUGGCUUCCACUGAUAGGAAUCAAAUGGCAUCACCUAGACAGGGGGCCGCGUACACAUAAGCUCCCGAGUGUUGGGUGGUGUCAACCAACGGCUGUCCUGCUAGCCCUGUGGACAAAAAGGAGGCCUGGGCCAGGUAAGAGUGACAUAAAAAGAGCUGUGAAUGGAACUUAGGGAAGGAAGGACUCUGUGGUUGUCAGAACCAUCAUACUCCUCAGGAGAUGUUGAAAGGGAAAGAAGAGGCUUAGUGCUCUGUGACUCCAGCGGGCAGGUGCUGGUCCUCACUGCUGUUUCAGGGCCAUCCUGAUGACCAGUGCUGUCUGUAGAGUUCCACACAGAUGCCCUUUUAUAUAAAGCAGCAGCAGAAUCUUUUUUUAAACACAGAAGGUUCUGCCUGCAGCCCAACAAAAAGUUCUGUGUUUCGCCAUUCAGGU